rnacentral:snRNA from 1 species
AUGCUUGCUUCGAAAGCACAUAUACUAAAAUUGGAACGACACAGAGAAGAUUAGCAUGGCCCCUGCACAAAAAUGGCAUGCAAAUUUGUGAAGUGUUCCCUAUUUGU